rnacentral:rRNA from 1 species
GACGAACGCUGGCGGCGUGCUUAACACGUGCAAGUCGAACGGAAAGGCCCUGCUUUUGUGGGGUGCUCGAGUGGCGAACGGGUGAGUAACACGUGAGUAACCUGCCCUUGACUUUGGGAUAACUUCAGGAAACUGGGGCUAAUACCGGAUAGGAGCUCCUGCUGCAUGGUGGGGGUUGGAAAGUUUCGGCGGUUGGGGAUGGACUCGCGGCUUAUCAGCUUGUUGGUGGGGUAGUGGCUUACCAAGGCUUUGACGGGUAGCCGGCCUGAGAGGGUGACCGGCCACAUUGGGACUGAGAUACGGCCCAGACUCCUACGGGAGGCAGCAGUGGGGAAUAUUGCACGAUGGGCGGAAGCCUGAUGCAGCAACGCCGCGUGCGGGAUGACGGCCUUCGGGUUGUAAACCGCUUUCGCCUGUGACGAAGCGUGAGUGACGGUAAUGUGUAAAGAAGCACCGGCUAACUACGUG